UUUAUAAAGGUAAGUUUGUCAGACGACACAAUCUGCUUCAACACUCCGCAGGACGCAGCCUCCGCUGUCGCCUCAGGCUCAGUUGACACCGUGACAAGGAUCCGCCCUUACAUACACCCGACGGCAUAGCAGCGGCAACACUAAUUGGAAAAUCGAACCCACCGAUCCGGCGAGAAACAUGCCUCCUCAGUCAUCAGGUUAUUUUUCAAAGAAUAGAGUUGAUGGGAAUGGGUGGAGUUGGCAAAAAAAUAUUGGGUCGUCGCCGAAUGGUGUCGAAUACGGAAGAACUUUUGUUUAACCUGGGACGUUGCCAAGGAGACCUUCUCGAAUGUGCCGCCGUCACACGAGUAGAGAAAGGAGGAGGAGAGUAUGGCAAGAUACUAAUGGCCACACAAUGGGUUUGAUCGUAGAAGUAUACUUUUGAACAUAUUUUAAAAGAUGCUGAAUCUUCUUUUAUUUAGAAGUAUAAUUUUGAACACAUCCCAAAUUUUUUUUUUUUAUUUUUAAGUUUCAUUUAUUUAUUUUUUCUGUCCACCAGAUAUUACUCCUGCUUAAUGGUUGAACUAGCUAUCAAAGAUAUUAACACCUUGUGGUGGCUUAUGGUAGGAGUGAUAGGUUGGGAUUUAUUUUUGUUUCUCAACCGACUGAAUUGGUAGCUUUCAUCGACUCAGCGAACAGUUCUUGAUAACCCUUAUUUUUGGGAUGAUGCGGAUAGAUCAUAGAAGCUGUUUCACGAGGAAAGUUUGGCACCUACACCAACUUGAUGAAACUACCUUUAAAGCUAUAAGAGACCCUUUACGUACCCCAGUAUUUCCAUCCCACAUAUGUGGACGAGUGGAAAAAUUUGUUAAAACAAAACACAGCAUUAAUAUAUUAAUGCAGGACAGUUAGCUGAAGGUUUUGGAACUCGUUUUGGACCGUCAAAAGGUCAAACGGGUGGGCUGAUCAGUUUUUAUCGGAUGAUUUCGAGGAAUCUUUUUUUUAACCCAGAAAGAGUCCAGUUUUAAAUUGCCUAACUUUCAGAUAUCGGCAGCGUAGAGUGUCUUUUGACAUAAUUCAAUCGUUUAAGGCUCGGGAAUGACAUUUUUUCAAUUUGGAAUAUUUCAGGAUUUUUGUUAUAAGUCUAAACGGAUUCGAUUUGCGUUCUUUUUUGGUAUUUAGUAGUUGUUUGUAAUUAGGUUUCUUUCCUUAUUUUUACAAUAGAACACGUUUAUUUUUGAGCAGUUUCCUUGCACCGCUAAUUUCUUUACGUUUUUUUUUUUUUUUUUUUUUUUUUUUUUUUUUUUUUUUUUUUUUGCUGUUACGAGUUUUAUUUAUAAAUACAUGUAUUGUAGAGCAGAUCAUUCAUUCAAUUAUUAAUAUAUUAUCAGAUUCUUUUGCGAAUU